UCUUGAAGCUUCCAACGCCAUCUUCUCAUUCUCCCCAUGGAAAGUUAGUUUUCUUUCAUUUUCUUUCCUUGUUUUCUUUUCAUUUCCUUUCUUUUCUUGCUUCUUCCUUCUCCCAACUUCUUACGCACCAAAGUUACAACUUCUAACCCUAAUUUCCAACACAUCUAAACCCUAGGAGAAGAAGAAAGAAAAAGAGAGAAAGGAAGAAAAAGCUUGAUUUUGUAAUUCAAGCAAGCUAAGCUAUGGUGGCCAUGGGUGUGAGGGAAUUAUGAAUUUUGUUGGGUGAAAUCCAAGCCAAAACCAAGUGGAAAUACAAAGGUAAAGUUAGAGUACUGUGGUGGUGC